CAGCGCCCUGGCCCCGGAGCGGUUUAGCCGCUGCCUUGUGUCGCGGCCGCGUGCCGGGCGAUGGCCGCCCAGACCCCCGGACCCCCGAUCGCCAGUCCCGGGGCUUCCCGCCCGCGCCUCGGUGGAGGGAGGCCCCGGAGGCGCCAUCGCUCGCGCCUGCCACCUGGACGCUGAAUAAACUGGGAAACAAUUAGGUGGCCGGGUGGGGAAGGUGCUGGGUGACUGCACUGCCAGGCGGCCGCGUGCCCCCGCGCUCGCAGGGGUUGGCGACUGGGGGCGGUUGGGAGUUCGUGUUUAGGGAGGAAGGUGAGAGGUGCGGGAUCUGCCCACGAGGGCAGUCGCUCUCGGAGAAUCGGGGAAUGGCUCUGUCAGGUCGCAGGCCCUCCUCCGCCUUUAUCCCCAUCACGCACAAAAAGAAUGGGCCUUGCAAGGGAUGUUUAUUAUGCACUUUUAAGUGACUAUUCAGAAAAGAGCAGGAGGCACAAUAAAAAAGGCUUCUGCCCCACCAAUUCCCUUCCCUUGAAGAAAAAAAGAAAGAGAAAGCCACCCACAAAGAUCAUUUUCAGAACUUGAAAAACAAGUUGUUGUGCAGGUAGAAACGUUCUUUUUUUCCACUGGGAUUUAGUGAAGCAGAUCCCAAAGCUGCCCAGAAACAUGCGCAAAUGGCCUUUGGAUUGUGCCCUGACAGCCUCCAGUGAGGAAUAACUCUGCUGCCAGCAACUAAGACUAACAGCUCCAAAGUAAAGAAGUAAACAACACUGAGUUUUCCUCGCUCCAAAGAAAGCCUGAGAGGACUCCGGUGCCAUCAGCUCCUGGCUUCCCCUUUGCUUUUCUCACUCUGAAGAUUUGCAGUCAGGAGGCACCUGCUCAGAACAGAGAUUACUCGCAUACGGGAUCAACAGAAGAGAGUGCAAAGGUCCAGGCCAGGAGCCAGCUGUCAUCUAAAGAGGGACUUCAGCUGCAAAGCCUGUCCAAACAUCCAUCACAAACAGGUUUUGGUAGUUUUUAUAUGGGUUUGAGCCAGGUUUUUACCUUAUCCAUAUCCCAAAAAGAUGAUCCAUCCCCGUGCCAGAAACUUUCAAAUAAUAAUAAAAAUUAUUUGAUUAUAAGAAAGAAAGGGAAAAGAAAAUGACCAGGCCUCAAACAGAGAAUGACUCAAACAGAGCCUGAGCAGUUGGGAGGAGUCUCCCCGUUGGAGAAUCUACACCAUAUUACAGACUGAAUUUCAACAAGCUAUUUGGGAUGAUUUCGUGACUAAGCAUGAAGCUGGAAUUAUACUGCCUCCUUGGUCAAAGUGCUGUGGACACUUUCCCUUCAUUAUUUCAGGUUUUUUUCUAUGCUGGCACUUUAUUCAAGCUCACAAAAUAACUGUACUUUGUAAACCACAAAAGAAAAUGUACGCCCUUUUAUUUCUAUUGUGUUGGGAGGAUUUGGUGGGGGGUGUUAAUGUUAACUGUUAUUGAUCAUGUUAUUAUUAUUAUUACCAACUUUAACCUAGUCUUCCAUAUCCAUAUAUUUUGCAUAUGCAAAACAACAAAAGCAAAUAGCCAUUUGAAUGUAAUUUGGGUUUCUUCCUUUGUUCUCAAUCUGGUAUGAUUCCAACUAGUUUCAAC
rnacentral:lncRNA from 1 species